CUGGAGGUAUCAGAAGUGCGAAUGCUGACAUAAGUAACGAUAAAGCGGGUGAAAAGCCCGCUCGCCGGAAGACCAAGGGUUCCUGUCCAACGUUAAUCGGGGCAGGGUGAGUCGACCCCUAAGGCGAGGCCGAAAGGCGUAGUCGAUGGGAAACAGGUUAAUAUUCCUGUACUUGGUGUUACUGCGAAGGGGGGACGGAGAAGGCUAUGUUGGCCGGGCGACGGUUGUCCCGGUUUAAGCGUGUAGGCUGGUUUUCCAGGCAAAUCCGGAAAAUCAAGGCUGAGGCGUGAUGACGAGGCACUACGGUGCUGAAGCAACAAAUGCCCUGCUUCCAGGAAAAGCCUCUAAGCAUCAGGUAACAUCAAAUCGUACCCCAAACCGACACAGGUGGUCAGGUAGAGAAUACCAAGGCGCUUGAGAGAACUCGGGUGAAGGAACUAGGCAAAAUGGUGCCGUAACU
rnacentral:rRNA from 2 species